GUGCAAUGGCAUAAGCCAGCUUGACUGCGAGCGUGACGGCGCGAGCAGGUGCGAAAGCAGGUCAUAGUGAUCCGGUGGUUCUGAAUGGAAGGGCCAUCGCUCAACGGAUAAAAGGUACUCCGGGGAUAACAGGCUGAUACCGCCCAAGAGUUCAUAUCGACGGCGGUGUUUGGCACCUCGAUGUCGGCUCAUCACAUCCUGGGGCUGAAGUAGGUCCCAAGGGUAUGGCUGUUCGCCAUUUAAAGUGGUACGCGAGCUGGGUUUAGAACGUCGUGAGACAGUUCGGUCCCUAUCUGCCGUGGGCGCUGGAGAACUGAGGGGGGCUGCUCCUAGUACGA
rnacentral:rRNA from 1 species